GAUGAAGAACGCAGCGAAAUGCGAUAAGUAAUGUGAAUUGCAGAAUUCAGUGAAUCAUCGAAUCUUUGAACGCACAUUGCGCCCGCCAGUAUUCUGGCGGGCAUGCCUGUUCGAGCGUCAUUACAACCCUCAGGCCCCCGGGCCUGGCGUUGGGGAUCGGCGGAGCCCCCCGUGGGCACACGCCGUCCCCCAAAUGCAGUGGCGGUCCCGCCGCAGCUUCCAUCGCGUAGUAGCUAACACCUCGCGACUGGAGAGCGGCGCGGCCACGCCGUAAAACACCCAACUCUUCUGAAGUUGACCUCGAAUCCGGUAGGAAUACCCGCUGAACUUAAGCAUAUCAAUAAGCGGAGGA
rnacentral:misc_RNA from 1 species